UGAUAGUGUAAAAGUCACCAUGGGACUUAUGUAACAGUUUACCAGGAGUUGGAGCCCAGUUGCAGGAGAUGACACAAGAAGGAGGCAAAAUCCAAAAACAGAGUCCAGAUAAAGGGGUAAUCCAAAGGCAGGGUCAGACGAGAGGCAGAAGUCAGGGCUGGCAGCGGAGUAAUGAAGUCGGUAAAUCAGGCAGAGGUCAGAGUCCAGGAAAUCAGUCAGUAGCAAAGAUCCGAC